rnacentral:pre_miRNA from 7 species
UUCUGGAGGAGAAACUGUUCGACCCCCUUUCGGGGAUCCCCACUCUAGUCUCGGGAGAGAGAGCACACCCAAAGAAACAUGAGAAUCC